UACAGUACGGCCGACGAAAUCUUCUGGCAGUGGUGGCACUGCGCGUCCAAAAGGCGAAAGCAAUGCCUCAGGCUGGGUAAGAGAGCAACUGGUUGCACUUCGUCGUGC
rnacentral:SRP_RNA from 15 species